GUCCUUGUCGAUUAGUGGUCAAAUCAUCUCGUUGUGGCAUCUUCGCUCCGAGAAGCCGGAGGCUCGAAUCCUCCCAGGGACA
rnacentral:tRNA from 1 species